CUAACUAAUUGAUAUUCGAACUAUGAUUGUAUAUUGAUGCAAAGGAUUGUAUUGAUGCAAAGGUCUACCCACAUCCUCUCUGUAAGGAACAUUCGAUUUCUUAAAGUCAAAACACCAAUGUUAUAUACACGUCAACUAACUAAUGGAUAUUUAAGCGAUGAUUGUAUUGAUGCAAAGGUCUACCCACAUCCUCUCUGGAAUGAACAUUCGAUUUCUUCGACUUUUGCGAUGUGAUAAUCAUGCUAAAAACAGAGAAACAAUAAUGAAAUUCAUUUCUUUACUACCACACAUGUUUUAUCGAAAAAUCUCAACUGUCGCGAAUCAUAUUUUACGUUUAGUAUAUAUUUAUAUAAUUUAUAGCUAAGUGUAUUUAGGUAAGGACUGCGUCCUCGUUCAUCGUAAUUCACAUCUAUAACUAUACCGUUAAGUCAAAGCA